CUCCGGCCUUCGGCCGC
rnacentral:misc_RNA from 3 species